GACGAACGCUGGCGGCGUGCUUAACACAUGCAAGUCGAACGGAAAGGCCCUGCUUUUGUGGGGUGCUCGAUUGGCGAACGGGGGAGUAACACGUGAGUAACCUGCUCUUGACUUUGGGAUAACUUCAGGAAACUGGGGCUAAGACCGUAUAGGAGCUCCUGCUGCAUGGUGGGGGUUGGAAAUUUUCGGCGGUCGGGGAUGGACUCGCGGCUUAUCAGCUUGUUGGUUGGGGAGUGGCUUACCAAGGCUUUGACGGGUAGCCGGCCUGAGAGGGUGACCGGCCACAUUGGGACUGAGAUACGGCCCAGACUCCUACGGGAGGCAGCAGUCGGGAAUAUUGUACAAUGGGCGGAAGCCUGAUGCAGAAACGCCGCGUGCGGGAUGACGGCCUUCGGGUUGUAAACCGCUUUAGCCUGUGACGACGCGUGAGUGACGGUAAUGGGUAAAGAAGCACCGGCUAACUACGUG
rnacentral:rRNA from 1 species